GCUCACUUUGCCAGCACAUACACUAAAACUGGAAUGAUACAGAGAAGAUUAGCAUGGCCCUUGCACAAGGAUGACACACAAAUUUGUGAAGCAUUCCAUAUUAAA